CUUAAUGUUACCUCAUUGGUAGAAGUGUUCUAGAACAUUCUAGGAGGAACCCUUAAUGUUACCUCAUUGGUAGAAGUGUUCUAGUACAUUCUAGGAGGAACCCUUAAUGUUACCUCAUUGGUAGAAGUGUUCUAGUAGCUGUUAGUUCUUUAGACACCAACUGAGGGACUGAGCAUCCUGAGGGGGGAGACAAAAAUCUGUUUAUAAAUUAAGGUUUCUGAAAUAGACUGGAUUAAUUCAGGAUUCAUAGCAUCUGGUCUAUCGGGAACCUGAAUUGCUGGUAUGAAGGAACCUGAGACCCAACUAAAGAUCUGUCUAAUCCGGUCGUCAGGAUGUCAGGGAUGGACCUCCCAUUGGAUGAGCUCAACGGACCCGGAAUCUCCCCUGACAACGGAACCUUCCUGAAGUUCUCCCUCACCUCCGUUUCCUUGGCAGCCGUAGAGCCUGCUGGUGGUCCUGCUGACGCUGCUCGUCAUCACCCUCCUCAGGCUGUAGGACCUCAUUACAUUCUCCUCCUCUGCAGCGGACUGCAGCAGUGAGGGGGCAGAUCAUUCACCAACAUGGUGAUCUGCAGGAUAUCUUCAGAGGGGGGCAGAUCAUUCACCAACAUGGUGAUCUGCAGGAUAUCUUCAGAGGGGGGCAGAUCAUUCACCAACAUGGUGAUCUGCAGGAUAUCUUCAGAGGUCCACUGUGUCCGCCUGAGACCACAAAUCAGGUUUCUUUCUCUGGCGAUGUCCGGAAUGACAGCGUGUCCACUUUAUAAUUGGCAAACAGUAGUUUUCUAUUCAGAUUGUCCCCCUCUGGUUAAACUGGACUAACCUGGUUAAACUGGACUAACCUGGUUAAACUGGACUAACCUGGUUAAACUGGACUAACCUGGUUAAACUGGACUAACCUUGUCAAACUGGACUAACCUGGUUAAAAUGGACUAACCUGGUUAAAUCUGGACUAACCUGGUUAAACUGGACUAACCUUGUCAAACUGGACUACCCUGGUUAAACUGGACUAACCUGGUUAAACUGGACUAACCUGGUUAAAAUGGACUAACCUGGUUAAACUGGACUAACCUGGUUAAAUCUGGACUAACCUGGUUAAACUGGACUAGCCUGGUUAAACUGGACUAGCCUGGUUAAACUGGACUAACCUGGUUAAACUGGACUAACCUGGUGAAACUGGACUAACCUGGUCAAACUGGACUAACCUGGUUAAACUAGACUAACCUGGUUAAACUAGACUAACCUGGUUAAACUGGACUAACCUGGACUAACUGAAGUACUGUAUAUCGUAAAUCACAACUCAUAUAUUUGAUUGGAAGUAUUGAACUGUAACAGAUGGUUAUUGGAUUGGUUAAACACCUUUUUAAAAUGUUAUUUUGUGACCUUUAUUUAACCUGGCAAGUCAGUUAAGAACAUAUUCGUAUUUACAGUGACGGCCUGCCCCGGCCAAACCCGGACGACGCUGGGCAAAUUGUACGCCACCCUAUGGGACUCCCAAUCACAGCCGGAUGUGAUACAGCCUGGAUUCAAACCAGGGACUGUAGUGAUGCCUUUUUGCACUGAGAUGCAGUGCCUCAGACCGGGAGCUUCUUUGAAGAGAUGAACAACCACCUCAGCAGGUUAUGACAAUAACGUUUUUUUUAAAGGGUCCCUCUGUUACAAACACAAGAACAAUUAACAUUUAAAUAGUGAAGGAAAAGGGGUAUUAGUGAAGGAGAAUCAAAAAACAGAUUUAUAUUUUUUAUUACAUUUCAAUACAAAUAGAUUAGUGUCUUCUCAAAUGGAGAAAAGCUAUGUAGUGUAAGACUGUCAUGUCAACAUUAAAACACUGUAGAAGGCACAGUAAAAUACCAUAUGUGUCUUAAAGCAAUAAUGUUAUACAUUGCACUGCAUUAUGGGUAAAAUGCUGAAAAAUACUGUUAUUUACUGUAAUUGGAAGCCUCCUGGAGGAAAUCCUCACGUCAUUCUGUAUAAUUUAUUUACAGUAAUAGCUUAUGCCUACUGUAGAUUUGUAGUUAAAUACGUACACACAACACCAGCUUGAUAUGUCCCUUGUCCUCUGUCU